ensembl:lncRNA
GUCAGGCAGGGGCAGAGGGAGUCAGGCAGAGGGAGUCAGGCAGAGGGAGUCAGGCACAGGGAGUCAGGCAGAGGGAGUCAGGCACAGGGAGUCAGGCAGAGGGAGUCAGGCAGAGGGAGUCAGGCAGAGGGAGUCAGGCACAGGGAGUCAGGCAGAGGGAGUCAGGCACAGGGAGUCAGGCACAGGGAGUCAGGCACAGGGAGUCAGGCACAGGGAGUCAGGCAGAGGGAGUCAGGCAGAGGGAGUCAGGCAGAGGGAGUCAGGCAGAGGGAGUCAGGCAGAGGGAGUCAGG